rnacentral:rRNA from 1 species
AUUGAACGCUGGCGGCAGGCCUAACACAUGCAAGUCGAACGAGUGGCGGACGGGUGGGUAAUGUCUGGGAAACUGCCUGAUGGAGGGGGCAAAAUACUGGAAACGGUAGCUAAUACCGCAUACCAUCGGAUGUGCCCAGCUGGGUUUAGCUAGUAGGUGGGGUAACGGCUCACCUAGGCGACGUUCCCUAGCUGGUCUGAGAGGAUGACCAGCCAAACUGGAAGUGAGACCCGGUCCAGACUCCGACGGGAGGCAGCAGUGGGGAAUAUUGGACAAUGGGCGCAAGCCUGAUGCAGCCAUGCCGCGUGUAUGAAGAAGGCCUUCGGGUUGUAAAGUACUUUCAUCGGGGAGGCGUUACCCGCAGAAGAAGCACCGGCUAACUCCGUGCCAGCAGCCGCGGUAAUAC